UUCCGGUUGAUCCUGCCGGACCCCACUGCUAUCGAGGUGGGACUAAGCCAUGCUAGUCGAACGAACUUUACGUUAGUGGCACACUGCUCAGUAACACGUAGCUAACCUACCCUUAGGACGAGGACAACCCCGAGAAAUUGGGGCUAAUCCGCGAUAGGUGUGAUGUCCUGGAAUGGUAUCACGCCCAAAGGUGUUCGCACGCCUAAGGAUGGGGCUGCGGCCGAUCAGGCAGUUGGUGAGGUAACGGCUCACCAAACCUUUGACCGGUACGGGCCAUGAGAGUGGUAGCCCGGAGAUGGACACUGAGACAAGGGUCCAGGCCCUACGGGGCGCAGCAGGCGCGAAACCUCCUCAAUGCACUCACGUGCGAAGGGGUUACCUCGAGUGCCGCCUGAAGAAGGCGGCUUUUCCAUGGUCUAAAAAGCCUAGGGAAUAAGAGGGGGGCAAGACUGGUGUCAGCCGCCGCGGUAACACCAGCCCCUCGAGUGGUGGGGAUGAUUAUUUGGCCUAAAGCGUCCGUAGCCGGCCGGGUAAGUCUCCCGUUAAAUCCAGCGUCUCAAGCGUUGGACUGCGGGAGAUACUGUCUGGCUAGAGAGUGGGAGAGGUGUACGGUAUUCUGGGGGUAGGGGCGAAAUCCUUUGAUCCCCGGAGGACCACCAGUGGCGAAGGCUGUACACUAGAACACGUCUGACGGUCAGGGACGAAAGCU
rnacentral:rRNA from 1 species